rnacentral:rRNA from 1 species
UCAUCACUACGCUAGAUGCAUAUCAAUAAGCGGAGGAAAAGAAACUAACAAGGAUUCCCCUAGUAACGGCGAGUGAAGCGGGAAGAGCUCAAAUUUGAAAUCUUAAAGGGUUUUCCCUUUACGAAUUGUAGUUUAAAGAAGUGUUUUCUGUUGAGGUUUUGGUAAAAGUUCUUUGGAAUAGGACAUCAUAGAGGGUGAGAAUCCCGUAUUUGACCAUUUACUUUCAAGCUGUGUGAUACACUUUCAAAGAGUCGGAUUGUUUGGGAAUGCAGUCCAAAGAUGGGUGGUAAAUUUCAUCUAAAGCUAAAUAUUGGCGAGAGACCGAUAGCGAACAAGUACCGUGAGGGAAAGAUGAAAAGAACUUUGAAAAGAGAGCUUAAACAGUACGUGAAAUUGUCAAAAGGGAAGCGUUUGACACCAGUGUUGUUUAGUUGAAAAUCAAUUCAAUAGUUUUUGAUUCUAAGUAGUAUUGACUUCAUCAGCUUGCUGCUUUCUUCUCAGAAAUUAUUGAAUGCACUUUUCAGUUAACAAGUCAACAUCAAUUUCUUUUGUUGUAAAAGGGUAAGAGGAAGGUGGCUUGCGCUUCGGCUCAAGUGUUUAUAGCCUUUUAUCUCUGCAAUCGGAGAGAUUGAGGUCUGCAGCGUAGAUCCUUCGGGGUUAGAUACAUUGGUGCUAAGCUAUAGCCUUGUAUAGACAACUUGUUGACUAUGCUCAGUCAUGUAGCUUACUCGCUGAUGCUAUUUUACCUACGCUUAGGAUGUUGACACACGCGCGUGCUCG